UACGAAGGGGGCUAGCGUUGUUCGGAAUUACUGGGCGUAAAGCGCGCGUAGGCGGCUUUUCAAGUCGAUUGUGAAAUCCCCGGGCUCAACCUGGGAACUGCAGUCGAGACUGUCUAGCUAGAGUAUGGGAGAGGGAAGUGGAAUUUCAGGUGUAGCGGUGAAAUGCGUAGAUAUCUGAAGGAACAUCAGUGGCGAAGGCGGGUCUCUGGGCAGUAACUGACGCUGAGGAGCGAAAGCGUGGGGAGCGAACAGG
rnacentral:rRNA from 1 species